rnacentral:rRNA from 1 species
UACGUAGGGGGCAAGCGUUGUCCGGAAUCAUUGGGCGUAAAGAGCGUGUAGGCGGCUCGGUAAGUCCGCUGUAAAAGUCCAGGGCUCAACCCUGGAAAGCCGGUGGAAACUGUCGAGCUAGAGUCCGGUAGGGGAGUGUGGAAUUCCCGGUGUAGCGGUGAAAUGCGCAGAUAUCGGGAGGAACACCGGUGGCGAAGGCGAAUCACCUGGGGAUGGUUCUGACGCUGAGGAGCGAAAGCUAGGGGAGCAACGGGAUUAAGAA